GGGUCGUUAGCUCAGUCGGUAGAGCAGUUGACUUUUAAUCAAUUGGUCGCAGGUUCGAAUCUUGCACGACCCAUCA
rnacentral:tRNA from 1 species